UACGAAGGGGGCUAGCGUUGCUCGGAAUCACUGGGCGUAAAGCGCACGUAGGCGGAUUGUUAAGUCAGGGGUGAAAUCCUGGAGCUCAACUCCAGAACUGCCCUUGAUACUGGCGGUCUCGAGUCCGGGAGAGGUGAGUGGAACUGCGAGUGUAGAGGUGAAAUUCGUAGAUAUUCGCAAGAACACCAGUGGCGAAGGCGGCUCACUGGUCCGGUACUGACGCUGAUGUGCGAAAGCGUGGGGAGCAAACAGG
rnacentral:rRNA from 1 species